UGAAGGCUGGACUUAUCUGGCCUAAAUAGGAGCAGAUAUGGGGAUGUCUAGUGGCUGAGGAUGCUGUCUGGAGGAGACGUGCUUUCUUGUGACUGUCUUCCUUCCCGCUGCUGUUUUUGUGGCCUCAAAGGCAAACGCAGGAUAUUCCUCUUCCAGUUCCUUCAAUGCCUCUCCUUCUUCCAGUAUCUCUGAUCAAUCAAUCUGCAGUGAUGUCAGCAUUCCCAGAGAACUGAUAUAACUACUUGAAAGGAAAAGACAUCAAGACAGAGCACAUGCGAAAUUCUAUCUGUGUAAUGAAGAAUAUUCUUUGACUAUAAUGUUUCCAGUGUAAACUACUGAACUUGCAAACACCAAGUUGUGUGGGAGAUAAGCCAAGGCGAUGAAGUUCAUGCAAGAUGAGG